rnacentral:rRNA from 1 species
AUACGGAGGGUGCGAGCGUUAUCCGGAUUUAUUAGGUUUAAAGGGUGUGUAGGCGGGAGCCUAAGUCAGUGGAAAUCUCACAGCUUAACUGUGAAACCGCCAUUGAAACUGGGUUUCUUGAGUAUAGUUGAGGUAGGCGGAAUGUGUAAUGUAGCGGUGAAAUGCAUAGAUAUUACACAGAACACCGAUUGCGAAGGCAGCUUACUAAGCUAUUACUGACGCUGAUGCACGAAAGCGUGGGUAGCGAACAGGAUUAGAAACCCCAGUAGUCC